CUUGAUCGAGCCGAGCAGCAGCGGGUUCUCGGGGUCGCGGUCGCGCCCGUAGGUGGCCAGGAGCGCCUGGGCCUC
rnacentral:antisense_RNA from 1 species